UACGUAGGGGGCAAGCGUUGUCCGGAAUUACUGGGCGUAAAGGGUGCGUAGGCGGUCCGCUAAGUUGGAUGUGAAAACUCUGGGCUUAACCCAGAGCCUGCAUUCAAAACUGACGGGCUAGAGUUCUGGAGGGGGUAGCGGAAUUCCUGGUGUAGCGGUGAAAUGCGUAGAUAUCAGGAGGAACACCGGUGGCGAAGGCGGCUACCUGGACAGAAACUGACGCUGAGGCACGAAAGCUAGGGGAGCAAACAGG
rnacentral:rRNA from 1 species